CGAGAAUGACAGUCACAACAAAUACGGAUGCUUCCGAUCUGAACCUAAUCUGGACCUUGUAUCAACUCAGCAUGUUAAAAUGGAGACCAUUUCUACUGACACAGAUGUAUCUCUGUUUGAUGAGGAAGCAGUACACAGACCUACAAGGGACCUAUCUUUUAUGUCAUCUGCAACAGAAGAUAAAACGAUGGACCUCUACCCCGUCUGUAAGAAAAUAGGUGAAAGGUGCUGUCAGGUGAAAUCAAUAGGUGAGGCAAAAGAAAAACUUGACUUGUGUUUAUUGACCAAAGGUGCAAUGAUUGAAGUGGGCCUAUUUGCCAAAAAAGUGUAUGGAAUUUACAGGCAGAUUAUCAUAGAUGUCCUCGAGUACAAUUUUGAUAUUGAUUUGCAAAAGGAUAAAGAUCUUCUUGAAAACAUCCUCCUCAAUUUACGAUUAGUCGAAAAGAAAACAAGGCUGAAUUUGAAAGAUAUGUUAAGUAAAGAAAAACAUGAAUUGUUACAGGAAACCUUAACAAUUGUGCCUCUCAAAAAAAGGAAAUAUGCAGUAAUUUCAGGUGACAUGGAGGUCACUAGGGCAUCAGCUGUGUCAAAAGAUCAAAGACUUAAAGAAGUAACAAAAAGAAGACGACUAGAUUUAAUGAGGAAAGAGAAACUUUCACAGCAAGGAAGACGAAGACAGACCAAUUUGAAAGAGCCAGACAAGUUUCUCAGUGUGUUAAGACAGAGAGCGUCUUUACUGAGACUGAUUCAACACAGUUUUCAGAUGAGACUGCAAUACUUGACCAUGAGAAUGGAUCUGCUGACAUUUGCAUAAAGGAAGAGACUGAUCUGGACUUUAUAUCUCUUCAGGAUGUUAAGAUGGAGACCAUCAACACAGAGACCGAUGUAAUACAGUGUAAUGCUGAAGCAGUGCACAGACGUAUUAUGAACCAAUCCUUAAUGGUCUCCACAGUGAAAAAAACAGCUGCUCUACCUGGGAAAUCUGAAAGAAAUGUCAGGUGUAAAAAGUCAGGUCAAGGAAAAUUAGUUUCUAACAGGAUACAGAAAGCAAAUAACAUAAAGGAAGUGAAAUAUCAGACGAUGGCCAAUGACAUCUGCUCAGUAAAUGACUAAAAAAUAACUGAAUUAAAGCAGCCCUCCGCUGGAGGGAAGGUUGAGGACCCAUACCCCAACUGCAAGAAAAUAGGUGUAGAUUUCCAUGUUGGAUCUGGAGCAAAACAGAAACUUGCCAUAGGUCUACUGACUAAUGGGGUAAUGACUGAGGUUUCACAUUUUGCCGAAGAGAUGAAUCGAUCUCACGCACAUGUCAUCUGUGAUAUUUUAGAUUACAACAUUGAUCUUGGUUUGCAAAAUGAUCAACGCCAUGAAUUCGCAAUUCGGACUAUGGCGAAAGUAAAGUACUUGAUGGGGAAGUCCAGACUGCAAAGACCUGACUUGAUAACAAAAGUCUUUGAACUUCCUGAUCCAAGGGCAAUACCUGUAUCAAAAACACAUGUAAGCUCCAACCUUUUAAAUGACAAUGUGUCAUUUAGUCUGAGAUUGAAUAAAGAUGUAGAAAUACAGCAAUUGGUUAUAAAGAAGGAGGAGGAAUGUGUCUCUAUAUAAUGUCCUUUGAAGAAGAUGGGUUGGUUGAGUAUGAAAAGGCCCAAAAGGACAACACUGUCUCUCUGAUGAACUUUGACCUUGAUGCCAGCUAGGUAUCUCCUCAUCAUGUCAAAGAGACCAUGUUUAAUAAAACAGAUGUUGAAACAGCAACACUUGCCCUCAAGAAUGGACCUACUAACAUCUGUAUUAAGGAUGAACCCAAUCUGGACCUCGUAUCAACUCAGCAUGUUAAGAUGGAGACCAUCUCUACUGACACAGAUGUAUCUCUAUCUGAUGAGGAAGCAGUACACACACCUACAAGGGACCAAUCUUUUAUGACAUCUGCAACAGAAGAUAAAACAACGGACCUCUACCCCCUUUGUAAGAAAAUAGGUUUAGACCUUGACGUGAAAUCAAAAGGUGAGGGAAAAGAAAAACUUGACUUCCGUUUAUUGACUAGAGGUGUAAUGCUCGAAGUUGCAAAGUUUGCGGCCGAUGUGUGUGGAACCUACAGGCAGAUAGUCUCUGCUGUUGUCGAGUACAAUUUUGAUCUUGAUUUCUCCCAAAAAAUAGAUCUCCUUGAAAAUAUAAUUCAUAACUUAAGAUCAGCCAAGAAGAAAAUGAAAAGUCGAAGUUGGAGACUGAAAGGCAAAAAAGUUGAAUUGCUUUAUUUUAUUAUAGAUUUUUACUGGACUGGGACAGGCUGUUUUAUCUUUUCAUAUUUUUGUUGGAGGGAUCAAUAAGUUAGCAAGUUUUCAUCAAGUCUAUAUUCAUCCAUUUUUGACCUAAGGAAGUACACUUCUUUAAUCCACGAUUUCAAAGUAAAGAAUAAGAUGUUCUUGAAAAGGAUGAGUUUCACUGGAUCAAAAGGUGAUGCUAAUAUAUGUUUCCAGCAGCAGUGUCCCUAAAGCUGCAAGGUCUUAUCGUUCCUCAUGUUGUGAAUAAGUGAAUACCUCAAAGCCCUAAAGAAGUGUUGUCAAUCUUUUUAGUCACAGAUUUCCUGCUUGCCAUACUAGAGGGAGGUACUGGUUGUCUUUCAACUCCACACCAUGGGAUGAUUGACCUGGAUCUUAACCAGAACAGACUUCACCAGACACAGUAGAAGUGAGGUCACAGGAAACAUACUGAUUUGUGAAGAGGGACUACAUCACCCAGAAAGCAUUGCAGCAGCGUGUCCCUGGAGGCCCACAGCUUUGUUGGAUGUAAUGCAUUGUUCUCGACCUCUCAGAGUGUUCGGAAAUAAGACUUGUAAACUCGGUGCAUCAUGUUGCAUGCAUUCACGUACCUUGAACCAAGGUCAACCGAUGGCUACACCCACCCGUAGCACGCGCUCCAGCAGGUGUAUCUCACUGAUCAUCCCUAAAGCCAAAACCUCAUUUGGACGCCUUUCCUUCCAGUUCUCUGCUGCCUGCGACUGGAACGAAUUGCAAAAAUCUCUGAAGUUGGAGACUUUUAUCUCCCUCAACAACUUUAAAAAUCUGCUAUCCGAGCAGCUAACCGAUCGCUGCAGCUGUACAUAGUCCAUCUGUAAACUACCCACCCAAUUUACCUACCUUACCCCCAUACUGCUUUUAUUUAUUUACUUUUCUGCUCUUUUGCACACCAGUAUCUCUUCUUCCACAUGAUCAUCUGAUGAUUUAUCACUCCAGUGUUAAUCUGCUAAAUUGUAAUUACUCGAUUUAUUGCCUACCUCAUGCCUUUUGCACACAUUGUAUAUAGAUUCUCUUUUUUUUUUCCUACCAUGUUAUUGACUUGUUUAUUGUUUACUCCAUGUGUAACUCUGUGUUGUUGUCUGUUCACACUGCUAUGCUUUAUCUUGGCCAGGUCGCAGUUGCAAAUGAGAACUUGUUCUCAACUAGCCUACCUGGUUAAAUAAAGGUGAAAAAAAAAAAAAAAAAAAAAAAACCUAGGUACCGAGGUCAACCAUAAACGAACAGUACAGCUAUCAUGCUGGCAUGAAACGGCAGUUGAAAAUAGCUUUUCGAGAUCAGUCCAAACGUUCCUCCUGACUGUUAUAAUCAACAUGUUUGAAUGCUAAAGUGAUAUGGGACUACGUUUUUCUAUUGCAACGCUUGAAUCACGUUCAUACUUUUGGUUAUAACCUGCACAACUUUUGAGCUCUUGGUUGUUUGCUUUUAAAAAUAGUUUUUAGUACUAACUUUUGUUUGUUUACAUUAAAUUACUAGUUUUUGUUGUUUCCA